UACGAAGGGGGCUAGCGUUGUUCGGAAUUACUGGGCGUAAAGCGCACGUAGGCGGAUACUUAAGUUAGGGGUGAAAUCCCGGGGCUCAACCCCGGAACUGCCUUUGAUACUGGGUAUCUGGAGUCCGAGAGAGGUGAGUGGAAUUCCGAGUGUAGAGGUGAAAUUCGUAGAUAUUCGGAGGAACACCAGUGGCGAAGGCGGCUCACUGGCUCGGUACUGACGCUGAGGUGCGAAAGCGUGGGGAGCGAACAGG
rnacentral:rRNA from 1 species